GCCCAGAUGGUGGAAUUGGUAGACACGCUAGCUUCAGGAGCUAGUGGCGCUAAAACGCCUUGGAGGUUCGACUCCUCUUCUGGGCA
rnacentral:tRNA from 1 species